UACGUAGGGUGCAAGCGUUAGUCGGAAUUACUGGGCGUAAAGCGUGCGCAGGUGGUUUUUUAAGUCAGAUGUGAAAGCCCCGGGCUUAACCUGGGAAUUGCGUUUGAAACUGGAAGACUAGAAUGUAGCAGAGGGAGGUAGAAUUCCACGUGUAGCAGUGAAAUGCGUAGAGAUGUGGGGGAAUACCGAUGGCGAAGGCAGCCUCCUGGGCUAACAUUGACGCUCAUGCACGAAAGCGUGGGGAGCAAACAGG
rnacentral:rRNA from 1 species